rnacentral:rRNA from 1 species
UGGGGAAUAUUGGACAAUGGGCGCAAGCCUGAUCCAGCCAUGCCGCGUGGAUGAAGAAGGCCCUAGGGUUGUAAAGUCCUUUCGGUGGUGAAGAUAAUGACGGUAACCACAGAAGAAGCCCCGGCUAAUUUCGUGCCAGCAGCCGCGGUAAUACGAAAGGGGCUAGCGUUGUUCGGAAUUACUGGGCGUAAAGCGCACGUAGGCGGCCUUGUAAGAUGGGGGUGAAAUCCCCGGGCUCAACCCGGGAACUGCCUUCAUGACUGCAAAGCUAGAGGAUGCGAGAGGUUAGCGGAAUUCCGAGUGUAGAGGUGAAAUUCGUAGAUAUUCGGAAGAACACCAGUGGCGAAGGCGGCUAACUGGCGCAUUUCUGACGCUGAGGUGCGAAAGCGUGGGGAGCAAACAGG